UGGGGAAUAUUGGGCAAUGGGCGCAAGCCUGACCCAGCAACGCCGCGUGAGUGAAGAAGGUCUUCGGAUUGUAAAGCUCUGUCCUUGGGGACGAAGGAAGUGACGGUACCCAAGGAGGAAGCUCCGGCUAACUACGUGCCAGCAGCCGCGGUAAUACGUAGGGAGCAAGCGUUGUCCGGAAUUACUGGGCGUAAAGGGUGCGUAGGCGGUUUGAUAAGUCAGAUGUGAAAUAUCCGGGCUUAACCUGGAGGGUGCAUUUGAAACUGUCAGACUUGAGUGCAGGAGAGGAAAGCGGAAUUCCUAGUGUAGCGGUGAAAUGCGUAGAUAUUAGGAGGAACACCAGUGGCGAAGGCGGCUUUCUGGACUGUAACUGACGCUGAGGCACGAAAGCGUGGGGAGCAAACAGG
rnacentral:rRNA from 1 species